rnacentral:rRNA from 1 species
AACGAACGCUGGCGGCAGGCUUAACACACGCAAGUCGAGCGCCCCGCAAGGGGAGCGGCAGACGGGUGAGUAACGCGUGGGAAUCUACCCAUCUCUACGGAAUAACGCAUGGAAACGUGUGCUAAUACCGUAUACGUCCUUCGGGAGAAAGAUUUAUCGGAGAUGGAUGAGCCCGCGUUGGAUUAGCUAGUUGGUGGGGUAAAGGCCUACCAAGGCGACGAGCCAUAGCUGGUCUGAGAGGAUGAUCAGCCACACUGGGACUGAGACACGGCCCAGACUCCUACGGGAGGCAGCAGUGGGGAAUAUUGGACAAUGGGCGCAAGCCUGAUCCAGCCAUGCCGCGUGAGUGAUGAAGGCCCUAGGGUUGUAAAGCUCUUUCACCGGUGAAGAUAAUGACGGUAACCGGAGAAGAAGCCCCGGCUAACUUCGUGCCAGCCGCCGCAGUAAGAC